rnacentral:pre_miRNA from 1 species
UCCCAACUUUUAACAUUACGAGGAUGGGUUUAGUUAGGGGAGUCCCAACUGAGUGGUCCCCUGAAGAUAUUAUGCAGAACACUAAUGUACCCAUUGGG